CUUGUUUGUCUUCCAGAGAGCAUGUAAUUUUGUCAUCACAAGAUAAUUAAAGAUGAAAAAACUCCAGCAGAGCAGGAUGCUCCCACAGCACAGUCCGGUGGAAGGAUCCCGAACCCUGGCCUCCUCCGCCGAGGCCUGGUAAACUCUGCUCAACUCGCGUGUCUUCGUCUGCCUAUCCGGUGCUUUCUGAUUCAGAGGCCCGGGGGAGGGGGGUGAUGGUGGCAGUGCCCCCUCCCGAGCCUGACCUAGCACCUGUGCCCUUGAACCCAUCCUCGUCAGCCAUCUCUGAGGAUUAAGUUUUUCAGAUCCGUUCCUGUUACUACGUGUACGUGUAAUCCAUUGCUUCUGAUCACUGCGGGAUAUGCCAGGAUGCACCUCCACCGUCCUGAACCAUGACCCCUGUGCCAGUGACAAACUUCCAGAGUGCCUGGGCAUCCCCGCCCUCAUAAAUUGGACUGGGACAAACACCUCGUGCAUCUCCCUCGUGGCUCUCCCUCAUGGACCUGUCUGAGUCAUUUCAUGGGAUUCAUGUUGUGCAAAAAGGAGUUCACAUGGCAGGGCUGACUGCUUCUCCCUAGAAAGGCCAGCUACCCAGGCUGGCCCUUGACUGUGCCUGGGAAUCAGGAUUUGGAGAGGGUUCCCACCAUUCCCUACCUGAUGAGAAUGGCUCACUGUACCUAGACUCUUUACGUAAACAGUGGGGUUCAUGCUUAACUCUUGCUUUCUUUCUGGGAGGUAAGAAUGUUGGUACAUGCCAGGCAAAGUGUGCCUACCUGAGCAACCCCCCACCCCCAGCGUGGCCAGUCCGUAACGGGAUUCCCUGGUAGACACCCUUUCGCACAUGUCAUCACUACACAUUGCUGGGGGGAGUUAGGCACGUCCUGUGUGACCCCAAGAGAAAAGUAGUCUUGGAAGCUUAUGCCUGGUCUCCCUUGGGCUUGGCCCCAUGCACCUUUUCCCUGUGCUGAUUGGGCUUCAUGUCCCUUCACAGUGAUAAAUCUGAGCCAUGAAGACAACUAUAUCCUGCGUCUGGUGAGCCCUCCAAGUGAAUGAGCCUCUUCUCUCUUCCCACAUCGACUUGGUAAAUCAUUUGGAUUUGGCUUUUCUGUGUCACGGAGUCCCUGACCUUAUUCUGCCUUGAACGCCAUUCUCUUCCUUCAUUUACUUCAAAACUGGAUUCACUGUUCACCUACAGAAAUUUCCACCACCUGGAGGAAGUUUCUAGGGAGCCAGGGGGAUGCCCCCUCCAAAGUGAAACACCAGCUGGAACCCCUCGUACCACUUAACCAUCAAGAAAAAGGCGCGGUAUUUCAUAUUGAAACAGUGGAAUAAAGUUCCCUUCUUUCCUUCUAGGCUCUCGACUGAGACCCCCUUGUAGUACAGGACAGAGUAACAGGAGAAAAACAAACAGAAGUUUAAUAACAUGCGUACCUCCCGUAUACAUGAGACACCCAGGAAAACUGAGUAACUCCCCAAAAUGGCAGAAGCCAGCCCCUUAAAUACCACCUCCAAUGACAGACAAAAGCUGCUGGGCGUGGGGAGUCAGUUAGGGGAGCUGAUCCGAAAAAGCACAGUCAACAGGGGUAAGGUUGUUACACAGAUUAAAGUCACGGCCAUCUCUAUAGGUGAGCUUCUAAGGAUUCAGAGUCAUCUCCCUCUUCCUGGUACAGCCAGAGAGACACACUUGCGAACGGAGAUGUCUCUGACACCUGUAAACCUCUCUUAUAAAACGGUGGCUGGCGGCUCCUGAGUUCCCUGAGCGGCGGUUGUUGGCAGUUCCUUGAAAAUAAUCUGCCUAUCAGGAUUCCUUAUGCCAAAGAGACAUAUUUUGGGGUGGCAAAUGAUAACGCCCAAAGUGUCAUUUUGGACUCUAGAAGCAACACGCAGCCCAUUCUAGGUGAGACAGCCACUCCGAGCGGACCCAGAAUAAGAGACAGCUCAGCUGGGGUUAAGGCUCUAGUACCAGCCUCUCUGCUCUGAUGUUCUCAAAAGUCCCUCUGGAUGGAGAUGCUGUGCAGAGCACCUGGCAAGCGCAGAGAAGAGACUCACACACAGACCCUCAGGGUUUGAAGCAAGCUUGUGCCCUGAUCUGCAGCAGGAUGCCUGAUCACGGAACAUCCUCAAAAUUUUGGUUCACUGCUUACUUUUAAGAAACUUCCCAUAGACAACCACACUCUGUGGCCUCGAGUUUCUUGCACUGAAUCUGUGUUUUCUUCCGCUGGGUUUGGAGCCAUUUGCCUUGCUCAGCGAUCCACCAGUGCUGACUUUGUCUUCGAACUGGUUGUGUGAUAUUGAGCAAAUGAACUCAUCAGUUGAAAAGUGAGAGUAAGGGAUGCCCGGGUGGCUCAGUUGGUUAAGCGGCUGCCUUCGG